rnacentral:piRNA from 5 species
UCUCACUACUGCACUUGACUAGUCU